AUACCUACGGGAGGCAGCAGUGGGGAAUAUUGCACAAUGGGGGGAACCCUGAUGCAGCGACGCCGCGUGAAGGAAGAAGUAUUUCGGUAUGUAAACUUCUAUCAGCAGGGAAGAAAAAGGACGGUACCUGACUAAGAAGCCCCGGCUAACUACGUGCCAGCAGCCGCGGUAAUACGUAGGGGGCGAGCGUUAUCCGGAUUUACUGGGUGUAAAGGGAGCGUAGACGGCUGUGCAAGUCUGGAGUGAAAGGCAUGGGCUCAACCUGUGGACUGCUUUGGAAACUGUGCGGCUUGAGUGUCGGAGAG
rnacentral:rRNA from 1 species